UACGGGGGGGAGCAAGCGUUGUUCGGAUUUACUGGGCGUAAAGGGCGCGUAGGCGGUCAGCACAAGUCAGUUGUGAAAUCUCCGGGCUUAACUCGGAAAGGUCAACUGAUACUGUGCGACUAGAGUGCGGAAGGGGCAACUGGAAUUCUCGGUGUAGCGGUGAAAUGCGUAGAUAUCGAGAGGAACACCUGCGGCGAAGGCGGGUUGCUGGGCCGACACUGACGCUGAUGCGCGAAAGCCAGGGGAGCG
rnacentral:rRNA from 1 species